rnacentral:rRNA from 1 species
ACAAUGGAGAGUUUGAUCCUGGCUCAGGAUGAACGCUAGCGGCAGGCCUAAUACAUGCAAGUCGAACGGUGGCAGCAAUGCCAUAGUGGCGCACGGGUGCGUAACACGUAACUAACCUACCCAUCAUUGGGGGAUAGCCCGCCGAAAGGCGGAUUAAUACCGCAUAAGACUAUAGAGUGGCAUCACUUAGUAGUUAAAGAUUUAUUGAUGAUGGAUGGGGUUGCGGGUCAUUAGCUAGUUGGUAAGGUAACGGCUUACCAAGGCGACGAUGACUAGGGGAGCUGAGAGGC